rnacentral:rRNA from 1 species
UACGAAGGGGGCUAGCGUUGCUCGGAAUCACUGGGCGUAAAGGGUGCGUAGGCGGGUCUUUAAGUCAGGGGUGAAAUCCUGGAGCUCAACUCCAGAACUGCCUUUGAUACUGAAGAUCUUGAGUUCGGGAGAGGUGAGUGGAACUGCGAGUGUAGAGGUGAAAUUCGUAGAUAUUCGCAAGAACACCAGUGGCGAAGGCGCUCACUGGAACGCAACUGACGCUGAGGCACGAAAGCGUGGGGAGCAAACAGGG